CUAGAAUUCUUUCCAGUGAGGAUGAAGCUACACGCUACAGAAGAAUGAGCACUGGACUUGGAGUCAGGAA
rnacentral:pre_miRNA from 1 species